UACGAAGGGUGCAAGCGUUACUCGGAAUUACUGGCGUAAAGCGUGCGUAGGUGUGAGUUAAGUCUGUCGUGAAAGCCCCCGGGCUCAACCUGGGAAUGGCGAUGGAUACUGGCUCGCUAGAGUGCGGUAGAGGAGAGUGGAAUUCCCGGUGUAGCAGUGAAAUGCGUAGAGAUCGGGAGGAACAUCAGUUGCGAAAGGCGGCUCUCUGGACCAGCACUGACACUGAGGCACGAAAGCGUGGGGAGCAAACAGG
rnacentral:rRNA from 1 species